rnacentral:rRNA from 1 species
AACGAACGCUGGCGGCAGGCCUAACACAUGCAAGUCGAGCGCCCCGCAAGGGGAGCGGCGCACGGGUGAGUAACGCGUGGGAAUAUGCCCUGGGGCUGGGGAUAACGGCGGGAAACUGCCGCUAAUACCCGGUACGCCUUGAGAGGGAAAGGAGCAAUCCGCCCUGGGAGUAGCCCGCGUUGGAUUAGCUAGUUGGUGAGGUAAGAGCUCACCAAGGCGACGAUCCAUAGCUGGUCUGAGAGGAUGAUCAGCCACACUGGGACUGAGACACGGCCCAGACUCCUACGGGAGGCAGCAGUGGGGAGUAUUGGACAAUGGGGGGCAACCCUGAUCCAGCCAUGCCGCGUGAGUGAAGAAGGCCUUAGGGUUGUAAAGCUCUUUCGGCGGGGACGAUGAUGACGGUACCCGCAGAAGAAGCCCCGGCUAACUUCGUGCCAGCAGCCGCGGUAAU